GAUGAACGCUGGCGGCGUGCUUAACACAUGCCAGUCGAACGAAGCAUUUAGGACAGAUUACUUCGGUUUGAAGUUCUUUAUGACUGAGUGGCGGACGGGUGAGUAACGCGUGGGUAACCUGCCUUGUACUGGGGGAUAGCAGCUGGAAACGGCUGGUAAUACCGCAUAAGCGCACAAUGUUGCAUGACAUGGUGUGAAAAACUCCGGUGGUAUAAGAUGGACCCGCGUCUGAUUAGCUAGUUGGUGAGAUAACAGCCCACCAAGGCGACGAUCAGUAGCCGAACUGAGAGGGUGACCGGCCACAUUGGGACUGAGACACGGCCCAGACUCCUACGGGAGGCAGCAGUGGGGAAUAUUGCACAAUGGAGGAAACUCUGAUGCAGCGACGCCGCGUGAGUGAAGAAGUAAUUCGUUAUGUAAAGCUCUAUCAGCAGGGAAGAUAGUGACGGUACCUGACUAAGAAGCUCCGGCUAAAUACGUG
rnacentral:rRNA from 1 species